rnacentral:lncRNA from 10 species
CCGGCAACCACCCCGUCUGAGAAGUGAGGAGCCCCUCCGCCCGGCAGCUGCCCCGUCUGAGAAAAUUAUCCCACUUGGGCUUUUUAUGGCAGUAUAUUCAUACCUUGGUAUACCACACACAGCAAUGGAAAAGAAACUACAGACUACACAGAACAUGGAUGAAUUUCACAGACAUCACAAUGAGCUGAAGAAGCCAGAUACAAAAAGAAAAAAAAAAAAGCACCGUAUGACUCCAUUUAUAUGGAUCUUAAAAACAGAAAAAAUGAAUCUAUGGGACUAAAGAUCAGAAUACUGGUUAUCCUUGGGAGUGUAGGGGGAGUGCUGAUUGGGAGAAAGCACAGCAGAGCUUUUCGGGUACUAAGGACUGAACUGUAUUCUCUCAGAAUUCCUGUGUUGAAGCCCUACCCCACAAUGUGAUGCUAUUUGGAGAUGGGGUCUUUGGGAAGUAAUUAGACUCAGAUGAGGUGACGUGGGUGGGGUCUUCAGGAUGGGAUAAGUGCCCUUAGACACACCAGAAAGCUUGCUUUCCUCCACCUACCUCUCCCCACACAUACACAUCAAAGAAAGGUCUUGACUACACACUGAGCAGCGAGGAAGAGGGCCCUCACCAGAACCCAACUAUGCUGGCAUCCUGAUCUCGGACUUCCAGCCUCCAAAACUGUGAGGAAAUAAAUUUCUGUUUAAGCCAGAACAACAGAUAUUUUGAUAUUUUAUUAUGGUGAUCUGAGCUGACCAAAGUACCAGAAAUGCUUUAUAUUUCAAUAUGGACAGUGGUCACAUAAGUGAAUAAAUGUGUAAAAAUUCCCUAAGCUGUAUACUUAAGGUUGACUCACAGUUUUUUAGAAGGAAUAGCAAGAAACAAAGCACUGACUUAGCAAGAAACAACCUAGCAUUACCAAGGUGAGAGUUGGGAGACUUUUCUACUUUUCAUUUGAUUCCCUUGUCAGGGCAAAUUCUUUUCCAUGAGUAUAUGUGAUCUUACAUAAUUUUUAAUAACUUGUUAAUUUUAAUAUUGCUCUAAAUUCCCUACUUCACAGUGUGUGUCUCACCACUGCCCUUGAAGACUCAAUGGCAAUGACUGUCAAAUCCACACCUGCCCCCGUGCACUCAAACUCCAACCGUGAGUUUCCAGGCACCACUGGUGCAUCUCCUCUCAAGCACAUAACUGUCACACCCACCAUGUCUCCAAAUGCAGUUAUCCACCCCCAACUCCUCCUCCGCCUCUGCCCCUGGCUUCUGUCUCCCAGGUUCUAACUCACCCUGUUCCUUUGCAUCUCUGUGUUACCUCAGAUUGUUUACUUACAGGUGUCCCUCCACUCUCAGACUCAGAAACCAAACACAUGUAGAUACAUUUUUCCAUAGCAAGCAGGCAGGUAUUCCUCAUUAUCCAAACUAUUGCUACUCUCUAACUAAAACUCAGGAAACGAAAUACUACAGACUCAGAUAACAUGAUAUUCCUCACUCUCCAAACUCUCAUUACCGAAACAGAUUAUUUAUUUAUUUAUUUUUGAGAUGGAAUCUCGCUUUGUUGCCCAGGCUGGAGUGCAAUAGCGUGAUCUCAGCUCACUGCAACCUCCACCUCCCGGUUUCAAGCAAUUCUCCUGCUGACUCAGUCUCCUGGGUAGCUGGGAUUACAGGCACGUGCCAUCACGCCA